rnacentral:rRNA from 1 species
AUUGAACGCUGGCGGCAGGCCUAACACAUGCAAGUCGAGCGGAUGAAGGGAGUUUGCUCCUGGAUUCAGCGGCGGACGGGUGAGUAAUGCCUAGGAAUCUGCCUGGCAGUGGGGGAUAACGUCCGGAAACGGGCGCUAAUACCGCAUACGUCCUGAGGGAGAAAGUGGGGGAUCUUCGGACCUCACGCUAUCAGAUGAGCCUAGGUCGGAUUAGCUAGUUGGUGGGGUAAAGGCCUACCAAGGCGACGAUCCGUAACUGGUCUGAGAGGAUGAUCAGUCACACUGGAACUGAGACACGGUCCAGACUCCUACGGGAGGCAGCAGUGGGGAAUAUUGGACAAUGGGCGAAAGCCUGAUCCAGCCAUGCCGCGUGUGUGAAGAAGGUCUUCGGAUUGUAAAGCACUUUAAGUUGGGAGGAAGGGCAGUAAGUUAAUACCUUGCUGUUUUGACGUUACCAACAGAAUAAGCACCGGCUAACUUCGUG